rnacentral:rRNA from 1 species
UACGUAGGGUCCAAGCGUUAUCCGGAAUCACUGGGCGUAAAGCGUGCGUAGGCGGCGUGUUAAGUGUGAUGUUAAAUCGUGUGGCUCAACCAUAUCGAUGCAUCGCAUACUGGCAUGCUAGAGGAAGGCAGAGGCAAGUGGAAUUUGUAGUGUAGCAGUGAAAUGCGUAGAUAUGACCCGGAACACCGAUUGCGAAGGCAGCCCACUAAGCAAUGAUUGACGCUGAGGCACGAAAGCGUGGGGAUCAAACAGG